GACGAACGCUGGCGGCGCGCUUAACACAUGCCAGUCGAACGGAAAGGCCUGCUUUCCCUUGUGGAUUGCUGGUACUCGAGUGGCGAACGGGUGAGUAACACGUGAGUGAUCUGCCCCCAACUUGGGUAUAAGCCUGGGAAACUGGUUCUAAUUUGCGAUAGGACUGCAGGGUGGUGCCUGUCUUGGCAACCGAUUUUCUAUUGGUUGGGGUUGGCCUCUCGGCCUAUUAGCUUGUUGGUGGGGUAAUGGUCUACCAAGGCGAUGACGGGUAGCCGGACUGAGAGGAAGACCAGCCACACUGGGACUGAGACACGGACCAGACUCCUACGGGAGGCAGCAGUGGGGAAUGUGGGACAAGGGGGGCAAGCCUGAUCCAGACAUGGCGAGUGCGGGAAGAAGGCCUUCGGGUUGGAAACCGAUUUUGUUCGGGAAGAAAUCCUAUGGGCUAAGACGCAGGGGGGAUGACGGUACCGGAAGAAUAAGCACCGGCUAACUACGUG
rnacentral:rRNA from 1 species